CCUACGGGUGGCAGCAGUGAGGAAUAUUGGUCAAUGGGCGGGAGCCUGAACCAGCCAAGCCGCGUGAGGGAAGAAGGUACUGCGUAUCGUAAACCUCUUUUGUAAGGGAAUAAAGGCAGGGACUAGUCCCCGUAUGUGGGUACCUGAUGAAAAAGCAUCGGCUAACUCCGUGCCAGCAGCCGCGGUAAUACGGAGGAUGCGAGCGUUAUCCGGAUUUAUUGGGUUUAAAGGGUGCGCAGGGGGCCUGUUAAGUCAGCGGUAAAAGCCCGGGGCUCAACCCAGGCGUGCCGUUGAAACUGGCAGGCUGGAGUUGAGUAGAGGUAGGCGGAAUGCGCGGUGUAGCGGUGAAAUGCUUAGAUAUCGCGCAGAACCCCGAUUGCGAAGGCAGCGUACUGGCUCCACACUGACGCUGAGGCACGAAAGCGUGGGUAUCGAACAGGAUUAGAUACCCUGGUAGUC
rnacentral:rRNA from 1 species